CAGAAGAUGAUAAAUUCACUGUCUCAUUCAUGAAUGUUCUGGUUAAUCAUUGCCAUACAGAAAGAAGGGUGACUAGACAACUAGAUCAUAGGAUGAGUGUUUUGCUGAUUCUUAAAUCCAUAACAUUUCUUUGUUGCUCUAUAUCCAGCCUCUUGUUUUAUCUCAUGGUUGCCUAGAUACACAGCUUUGGGUGCUGACAAAUUCCCAAGGAUGAGAAUCUUGGCUCUUUGAGAACUCUAGAAUUGUGUCUCUAAAGACAUUUCUCAGCCACAGAAUGUCAUCAGAGCAAAUUUGUGGCCUCUUAAUAUUUUCCAGAGGACAGUAAAUUUUGGACAUAGCCCUAUCAAAGGGAACAUGGGACUUCAGGAAGUUUCAGAAAUGUGUAGUUUCCAGUUAGAAUGGUGUCAGUGUGACAUUUUGUGUGAUACAUAGUGUUCUCUGCUCAAAGAUGUUUCUGGGACAGAGAAGAAAUGUUGUGAACUUUUGUGUCAAGAUAUGAACAAGGGAGAAACUGGACUGGAAGGAUCCUCUUUGUUCCUGAGCUCUGUUAGAAGGAAACUGGAACUAUAAUCUCUUGUCUCCUGGCAGCAUCCUCUUCACAAAGUGGAGUUGAUGUGGUUUUCAGUGUCACUUUUCAACAGAGAGAAAAAUGAAAUGUUUUUUCAAAAGAUUCCUGGCUAUUCUCCAAAUGCCUCUGGGAAGAGAGGUCUCAGAAAAGCCUACUUAAAGUCAAAUGAAACUCAGUUGCUUCCGAAGCAUGGCAGGCUGAAAACAACCAAGAUACUUGAGUCUGGUUUGAUUCAAAUAGCCUUACCUUUAUGAAAUAGUUUCUAAAGAAUGCACACUGGAGCCAGGGAAAAUGCAAUGCACACGCAUAAGCUCAUAACUGCACGUGUGGAGUUCUGUGUGCUAAGUCAUUCUUCUAGGGAAGGCAUUUGAAAGUAGACGAGAUACACCUGAGUGCUUGGGGGUAGCUCUGGAGGUUAAAUUAGGUCAGCCUUGCUCAUCUCCUGGCUCAGUGGACAAUGUGCUCAACUUUCCAACUUUCUGUCGUCUGCAUGUUGAAUGACUAUGUAUGAGGUUUCCUGACAGGUAUCAGAAAGACGGUCUCUCUCUCUCUCUCUCUCUCUCUCUCUCUCUCUCUCUCUCUCUCUCUCUCAUGUGUGUAUGUAUAUGUGUGUGUAUAUGUGUAUGCAUGUAUGUUCACUAGUGUCAAGACAAAUGUUCUUAUCUG
rnacentral:lncRNA from 1 species